rnacentral:rRNA from 1 species
AGCGAACGCUGGCGGCAGGCCUAACACAUGCAAGUCGAGCGCCCCGCAAGGGGAGCGGCAGACGGGAGAGUAACACGUGGGAACAUGCCCUUCAGUACGGAACAGCCAAGGGAAACUUUGGCUAAUACCGUAUACGCCCGUAAGGGGAAAGAUUUAUCGCUGAAGGAUUGGCCCGCGUCUGAUUAGCUGGUUGGUGGGGUAAUGGCCCACCAAGGCGACGAUCAGUAGCUGGUCUGAGAGGAUGAUCAGCCUCACUGGGACUGAGACACGGCCCAGACUCCUACGGGAGGCAGCAGUGGGGAAUAUUGGACAAUGGGCGCAAGCCUGAUCCAGCCAUGCCGCGUGAGUGAUGAAGGCCUUAGGGUUGUAAAGCUCUUUCGUCAGGGAAGAUAAUGACGGUACCUGAAGAAGAAGCCCCGGCUAACUUCGUGCCAGCAGCCGCCGUAAGAC